UAAAAGGUUAGGGCAAAAGUAAUUGCGGUUCUUUCCAUUACUUUCAAUGGUUUUUGCCACUACUUUCAAUGGCAAAAACCGCAAUUACUUUUGCACCAACCUAAU
rnacentral:miRNA from 1 species